rnacentral:rRNA from 1 species
AGAGUUUGAUCCUGGCUCAGGAUGAACGCUGGCGGCGUGUCUUAGGCAUGCAAGUCGAACGCCCCGACGUUACGUCGGGGAGUGGCAGACGGGUGAGUAACGCGUAGGAAUGUACCCCCAAGAGGAGAAUAGCCUGUCGAAAGAUAGGGUAAUACUCCAUACGCCCCGCAUUUAUGCGGGGGAAAGAGUGUAACUACUCGCUUAGGGAGCAGCCUGCGUCCUAUCAGCUUGUUGGUAGGGUAAUGGCCUACCAAGGCUUCAACGGGUAGCCGGUGUGAGAGCACGGCCGGCCACAAUGUUACUGAAACACGGAACAUACGUCUACGGACGGCAGCAACCGAGAAUAUUGCGCAAUGGCCUAACGGCUGACGCAGCGACGCCGCGUGAAGGAUGACAGCCUUCGGGUUGUAAACUUCUUUUAUCCCGAUUUCAGGUCGGGAAGAAUAAGCACCGGCAAACUACGUGCCAGCAGCAGCGGUAAAACGUAGGGUGCAAGCGUUAUCCGGAUUUACUGGGCGUAAAGAGUAUCGUAGGCGCCUCACCGCAUCUUGCUUUAAAUCCUAAGGCUUAACUUUAGACAGGGGCAAGAGAUGAGUGGGGUAGUGCACAGUCGGGGAUGUUGGAAUGUCUGGUGGAGGGGUGAAAUCCGUUGAGAUCAGACAGAACACCAAGGGCGAAGGCAAAUGUCUAGACUGUUGCAGACGCUGAUGAACGAAAGCUGGGGUAGCAAAAGGGAUUAGAGACCCCUGUAGUCCCAUGCUGUAAACGAUCUCUACUAGCUCUCCCCGACGUCCGUCGGGGGGGGCGUAAGCUAACGCGUUAAGUAGAGCGCCUGGGAAGUACGGCCGCAAGGCUAAAACUUAAAGGAAUUGACGGGAAGGCGCACAACCAGUGGAGCAUGUGGUUUAAUUCGAUACAAAGCGUAGAACCUUACCUGGGUUUGACAUCCCGCUGCAUUCCUGAUGAAAAUUGGGAGUUCUUUGAGAGUGCGGGACAGCUGCUGCAUGGUUGUCGUCAGCUCGUGUCGUGAGAUUUCCGCUUAAGUGCGGUAACGAGCGCAACCCUUAUCCCGAGUUAAAUAUUCUCGGGAGACUGCCUCGACGUACGUCGGGGAGGAAGGAGAGGAUGACGUCAAAUCAGCACGGCGCUUACAUCCAGGGCGACACACAUCCUACAAUGGUUAGCACAAUGGGUUGCGAGGUGGUAACACGGAGCUAAUCCUUAAAACUAGCCUCAGUUCAGAUUGAGGGCUGCAAUUCGCCCUCAUGAAGUUGGAAUUGGUAGUAAUCGCGGGUCAGCAGACCGCGGUGAAUACGUUCUCGCCUUUUGUACACACUGCCCGUCAAGCGAGGAGAGUUGGGGGUAUCCAAAG